rnacentral:rRNA from 1 species
UCUUGCGCANGGGCGAAAGCCUGNGCAGCAACGCCGCGUGGGGGAUGAAGCUUCUCGGAGUGUAAACCCCUUUCGACCCGGAAGAACACCCGCAAGGGUUUGACGGUACGGGUAUAAGAAGCCCCGGCUAACUACGUGCCAGCAGCCGCGGUAAAACGUAGGGGGCCAGCGUUGCUCGGAAUUACNUGGGCGUAAAGGGUCUGUAGGCGGUGUGGCAAGUCGGAAGUGAAAUUUCAGGGCUUAACCCUGAAACUGCUUCCGAAACUGCUGUGCUCGAGUGCGAGAGAGGCGAGUGGAAUUGCAGGUGUAGCNGGUGAAAUGCGUAGAUAUCUGCAGGAACAUCCGAGGCGAAAGCGGCUCGCUGGAUCGCAACUGACGCUGAGAGACGAAAGCUAGGGGAGCAAACAGGAUUAGAUACCCUGGUAGUCCUAGCCCUAAACGAUCAGGACUGGGCGUGGGCCCUGUACGGGGCUCGUGCCGGAGCUAACGCGUUAAGUCCUGCGCCUGGGGAGUACGGUCGCAAGGCUGAAACUCAAAAAAAUUGACGGA